rnacentral:rRNA from 1 species
CCUACGGGAGGCAGCAGUGAGGAAUAUUGGUCAAUGGGCGCGAGCCUGAACCAGCCAAGUCGCGUGAGGGAAGACGGUCCUAUGGAUUGUAAACCUCUUUUGUCGGGGAGCAAAAGACGCCACGCGUGGCGUUCCGAGAGUACCCGAAGAAAAAGCAUCGGCUAACUCCGUGCCAGCAGCCGCGGUAAUACGGAGGAUGCGAGCGUUAUCCGGAUUUAUUGGGUUUAAAGGGUGCGCAGGCGGAGGUGCAAGUCAGCGGUAAAAUUGCGGGGCUCAACCCCGUACUGCCGUUGAAACUGCAUCCUUUGAGUGCGCGAGAAGUAUGCGGAAUGCGUGGUGUAGCGGUGAAAUGCAUAGAUAUCACGCAGAACUCCGAUUGCGAAGGCAGCAUACCGGCGCGCAACUGACGCUCAUGCACGAAAGCGUGGGUAUCGAACAGGAUUAGAUACCCUGGUAGUC